AACUUUCGGGUAAAUGGAAAGUGGCGGACGGGUGAGUAAUAUGUAGGAAAUACUGCCCUAGAGAGGGGGACAACAGAGGGAAACUUCUGCUAAUACCCCAUAUGAGCUUAGUUGAAAUACUAAUCUUGAAAACUCCGGUGCUCUAGGAUGAGCCUGCAUCUGAUUAGCUAGUUGGUGGUGUAAUGGACCACAAAGGCGACGAUCAGUAGCUGGUUUGAGAGGAUGAUCAGCCACAAUGGGACUGAGACACGGCCCAUACUCCUACGGGAGGCAGCAGUAGGGAAUUUUGCGCAAUGGGGGAAACCCUGAACCGCAGCAACACCGCGUGAAUGUUAAGCCCUUCGGGGUAUAAAGUUCUGUCAAUGGGGAAGAAUAAAUGACUGUACCCAUAAAGGAAGCACCGGCUAACUCCGUGCCAGCCGCAGC
rnacentral:rRNA from 1 species